UAGAUUUUCUUUUGUAUCCUUUUCCUUUGACCAAUCUUUGAUGACCCUUAAUGGAUUCUAAAUUUUUUACCUCAUUUCUUAUGACAAUAAAGCACCAAUUACCUCAUUAUUUAGCUCUCAUAUCUUACUGAUGAUCACCAUAACCAAGUUUGUUCCAAGAAUGUAGUGGCAUGAUGCACCAAUCUUCCUCAUUUGUAUUUUACAUCAACAAAAACCAAUUAAAAUUAAAGAAAACGAUGAGUUUAAAUUCUUGGGGAUCAUUCUUUCUCUCAGAUCUUUCAUCUGUAAAACAUUAGUUGUAGAAGAGGGCCUCAUAUGCUUCUUCAUCAACAUUUCUUCUCAGGAAUUAUUUUCUUCUGGGUUUGGCAGCCAUUGGGAGAUUCACAAGCUUCUCAUUUAGAUGAUGGAUGAAAGUGAGCCUUAUGGAAAAAAAUUUAAGAAGCAUUCGAAGGAGAAAGAGAAAGAAAGAAUGAAAAAGCUCAAGAAUAUUUUUCUUUACAGUGCUUCCGUUGCAGAGCAAUCCAUCAGGUGUCUGGAAGAGGAGAAGACAGAACUUGAAAUUGUUCUUGAAAGAAUUCGACGCUAUCAGCUGCCAAUCAAAGACAUGAUAAGGGAUCCAAAUACCCCAACAAGAAGUAUCAGUAUUCUUCAUGAAUUAGAUCGAAAUGCAGAAAUGAGAUCAACCAUUGAAGCGGUGGAGAAGAUCUUAUCUGUAUUUGACAAAUCUUUACUGCAAGAUCAUCCCAAAGAGCGAAAACAAUUCAAAGAUCAUCCCCUGAUUGAAAAAAGAGUGCUACAGUUUGCUGCAAAAGCUCACUUCAUCAAGACCUCUUAUGACAUAAAGCCCAGGAGUUCAAUCACAAGAUCUUCUAGCAUUUGAUUUCUUUUGUUCUAGUUUUAUAUGGGGGUUCCAGAGUUGAAACUGUCAAAAAAAAGAAAUUAGUUCUUGUUGCAGGCUUGGUACAGAGCAAGGGAUUUAAGCAAAUCUUGGAUUUCUUUUUCCUUUCCAAUCAUAUUCAGUCUCUGCAUUUCAAGAUGAUAUAAUAGCAUAUCUUGUAAGGGAAGAAAAUGUAUUACAGCUUAGACACAGAAAUCCCUGCAGAACAUCUGCACAAUUUCAUACCAUGAUAUCUGAACAAGUGCUUAUGUGAUUAAUCAUGUCUACUUUUGAAGAACUGGAAGUGUUUUUUUUUUUUGGUAUCUAACUUAUGAUGUAGUUGUUCUUCAAGUUAACUACUUUAUUUUUAAGACAUUCCAGCUAUGGGUAUUGUUUUUUAAGAUUGUAGCUAUGUAUUCCAUCAAUUUAUGUUGAAUGAUUAUGUUCAAUAAUGAAAUCUUUCAAAAAUC